ACACCCUCAAGCACUGCUUGGUGUUGGGCGUCUGUCCCGCCUUCGCGCGUGGACUCGCCCCAAAGUCAUUGGCAGCGGUCUCAGCACCUCAACGCGCAGUACAAUGCGUUCAUUGAAGUGUCGUGGGCGCGACCAUAAGCUAUUUACCGU
rnacentral:misc_RNA from 1 species